UUACAGUUGACGAGUCCCAAAUAGGGCGAAAUGCUUAUCCUGGAU
rnacentral:hammerhead_ribozyme from 1 species